UAGGGAAUCUUCCGCAAUGGGCGAAAGCUUGACGGAGCAACGCCGCGUGAGUGAUGAAGGUCUUCGGAUCGUAAAACUCUGUUAUUAGGGAAGAACAAAUGUGUAAGUAACUAUGCACGUCUUGACGGUACCUAAUCAGAAAGCCACGGCUAACUACGUGCCAGCAGCCGCGGUAAUACGUAGGUGGCAAGCGUUAUCCGGAAUUAUUGGGCGUAAAGCGCGCGUAGGCGGUUUUUUAAGUCUGAUGUGAAAGCCCACGGCUCAACCGUGGAGGGUCAUUGGAAACUGGAAAACUUGAGUGCAGAAGAGGAAAGUGGAAUUCCAUGUGUAGCGGUAAAAUGCGCAGAGAUAUGGAGGAACACCAGUGGCGAAGGCGACUUUCUGGUCUGUAACUGACGCUGAUGUGCGAAAGCGUGGGGAUCAAACAGG
rnacentral:rRNA from 1 species